rnacentral:rRNA from 1 species
UAGGGAAUUUUGCGCAAUGGGCGAAAGCCUGACGCAGCAACACCGCGUGAAUGUUAAGCCCUUCGGGGUGUAAAGUUCUGUCAGUGGGGACGAAAUAUGACGGUACCCACAGAGGAAGCACCGGCUAACUCCGUGCCAGCAGCCGCGGUAAUACGGGGGGUGCAAGCGUUGUCCGGAAUCAUUGGGCGUAAAGCGUUCGUAGGCGGUAUAUCAAGUCUGGUGUUAAAGCCCGGGGCUCAACUCCGGUUCAGCAUCGGAUACUGGUAAACUAGAAUGUGGUAGAGGUAAGGGGAAUUCCUGGUGUAGCGGUGAAAUGCGUAGAUAUCAGGAGGAACAUCGGUGGCGAAAGCGCCUUACUGGGCCAUUAUUGACGCUGAGGAACGAAAGCCGGGGGAGCAAAUG